AUUGAACGCUGGCGGCAGGCCUAACACAUGCAAGUCGAGCGGAUGACGGGAGCUUGCUCCUUGAUUCGGCGGCGGACGGGUGAGUAAUGCCUAGGAAUCUGCCUGGUAGUGGGGGAUAACGUUCCGAAAGGAACGCUAAUACCGCAUACGUCCUACGGGAGAAGGCGGGGGAUCUUCGGACCUCGCGCUAUCAGAUGAGCCUAGGUCGGAUUAGCUAGUUGGUGAGGUAAAGGCUCACCAAGGCGACGAUCCGUAACUGGUCUGAGAGGAUGAUCAGUCAAACUGGAACUGAGACACGGUACAGACUCCUACGGGAGGCAGCAGUGGGGAAUAUUGGACAAUGGGCGAAAGCCUGAUCCAGCCAUGCCGCGUGUGUGAAGAAGGUCUUCGGAUUGUAAAGCACUUUAAGUUGGGAGGAAGGGUUGUAGAUUAAUACUCUGCAAUUUUGACGUUACCGACAGAAUAAGCACCGGCUAACUUCGUGCCAGCAGCCGCAGUAAGAC
rnacentral:rRNA from 1 species